UUUGCGUCGAAGGUAUACCGGUAAGGAGUGCUGGAGCGAAUAGAAGUGAGCAUGCAGGCAUGAGUAGCGAUAAUUAAUGUGAGAAUCAUUAACGCCGUAAACCCAAGGUUUCCUACGCGAUGCUCGUCAUCGUAGGGUUAGUCGGGUCCUAAGUCGAGUCCGAAAGGGGUAGACGAUGGCAAAUUGGUUAAUAUUCCAAUACCAACAUUAGUGUGCGAUGGAAGGACGCUUAGGGCUAAGGGGGCUAGCGGAUGGAAGUGCUAGUCUAAGGUCGUAGGAGGUUAUACAGGCAAAUCCGUAUAACAAUACUCCGAGAACUGAAAGGCUUUUUGAAGUCUUCGGAUGGAUAGAAGAACCCCUGAUGCCGUCGAGCCAAGAAAAGUUUCUAAGUUUAGCUAAUGUUGCCCGUACCGUAAACCGACACAGGUGGGUGGGAUGAGUAUUCUAAGGCGCGUGGAAGAACUCUCUUUAAGGAACUCUGCAAAAUAGCACCGUAUCUUCGGUAUAAGGUGUGGUUCGCUUCGUACUAGGAUUUACUCCGAAAGCGAAGAAACUUACAACAAAGAGUCCCUCCCGACUGUUUACCAAAAACACAGCACUCUGCUAACUCGUAAGAGGAUGUAUAGGGUGUGACGCCUGCCCGGUGCUCGAAGGUUAAUUGAUGGGGUUAGCAUUAGCGAAGCUCUUGAUCGAAGCCCGAGUAAACGGCGGCCGUAACUAUAACGGUCCUAAGGUAGCGAAAUUCCUUGUCGGUUAAAUACCGACCUGCAUGAAUGGCGUAACGAGAUGGGAGCUGUCUCAAAGAGGGAUCCAGUGAAAUUGUAGUGGAGGUGAAAAUUCCUCCUACCCGCGGCAAGACGGAAAGACCCCGUGGACCUUUACUACAGCUUGACACUGCUACUUGGAUAAGAAUGUGCAGGAUAGGUGGGAGGCUUUGAGUAUAUGACGCCAGUUGUAUAUGAGCCAUUGUUGAGAUACCACUCUUUCUUAUUUGGGUAGCUAACCAGCUUGAGUUAUCCUCAAGUGGGACAAUGUCUGGUGGGUAGUUUGACUGGGGCGGUCGCCUCCCAAAUAAUAACGGAGGCUUACAAAGGUUGGCUCAGAACGGUUGGAAAUCGUUCGUAGAGUAUAAAGGUAUAAGCCAGCUUAACUGCAAGACAUACAAGUCAAGCAGAGACGAAAGUCGGUCUUAGUGAUCCGGUGGUUCUGUGUGGAAGGGCCAUCGCUCAAAGGAUAAAAGGUACCCCGGGGAUAACAGGCUGAUCUCCCCCAAGAGCUCACAUCGACGGGGAGGUUUGGCACCUCGAUGUCGGCUCAUCGCAUCCUGGGGCUGGAGCAGGUCCCAAGGGUAUGGCUGUUCGCCAUUUAAAGCGGUACGCGAGCUGGGUUCAGAACGUCGUGAGACAGUUCGGUCCCUAUCUGCCGUGGGCGUAAGAAGAUUGAAGAGAUUUGACCCUAGUACGAGAGGACCGGGUUGAACAAACCACUGGUGUAGCUGUUGUUCUGCCAAGAGCAUCGCAGCGUAGCUAAGUUUGGAAAGGAUAAACGCUGAAAGCAUCUAAGCGUGAAGCCAACUCUAAGAUGAAUCUUCUCUAAGCUUUCUAGAAGACUACUAGUUUGAUAGGCUGGGUGUGUAAUGGAUGAAAGUCCUUUAGCUGACCAGUACUAAUAGAGCGUUUGGCUUAUCUUUAAUAAAGCAU
rnacentral:rRNA from 1 species